rnacentral:misc_RNA from 1 species
UUUCCGUAGGUGAACCUGCGGAAGGAUCAUUGUCGUGACCCUGACCAAAACAGACCGCGCACGCGUCAUCCAAUCCGCCGGUGACGGCACCGUCCGUCGCUCGGCCAAGUCCUCGACCGCCUCCCCUCCUCGGAGUGGGGGCUCGGGGUAAAAGAACCCACGGCGCCGAAGGCGUCAAGGAACACUGUGCCUAACCCGGGGGCAUGGCUAGCUUGCUAGUCGUCCCCCGUGUUGCAAAGCUAUUUAAUCCACACGACUCUCGGCAACGGAUAUCUCGGCUCUC